rnacentral:rRNA from 1 species
GAUGAACGCUGGCGGCGUGCCUAAUACAUGCAAGUCGAGCGAACAGAUGAGGAGCUUGCUCCUCUGACGUUAGCGGCGGACGGGUGAGUAACACGUGGAUAACCUACCUAUAAGACUGGGAUAACUUCGGGAAACCGGAGCUAAUACCGGAUAAUAUAUUGAACCGCAUGGUUCAAUAGUGAAAGACGGUUUUGCUGUCACUUAUAGAUGGAUCCGCGCCGCAUUAGCUAGUUGGUAAGGUAACGGCUUACCAAGGCGACGAUGCGUAGCCGACGUGAGAGGGUGAUCGGCCACACUGGAACUGAGACACGGUCCAGACUCCUACGGGAGGCAGCAGUAGGGAAUCUUCCGCAAUGGGCGAAAGCCUGACGGAGCAACGCCGCGUGAGUGAUGAAGGUCUUCGGAUCGUAAAACUCUGUUAUUAGGGAAGAACAAAUGUGUAAGUAACUAUGCACGUCUUGACGGUACCUAAUCAGAAAGCAACGGCUAACUACGUG